rnacentral:rRNA from 1 species
UACGGUAGGGGCAAGCGUUGUCCGGAAUCAUUGGGCGUAAAGAGCGCGUAGGCGGCCCAGUCAGUCCGCUCUGAAAGUCAGGGGCUCAACCCCGUGAAUGCGGGUGGAUACUGCUGGGCUAGAGUCCGGAAGAGGCGAGUGGAAUUCCUGGUGUAGCGGUGAAAUGCGCAGAUAUCAGGAGGAACACCGAUGGCGAAGGCAGCUCGCUGGGACGGUACUGACGCUGAGGCGCGAAAGCGUGGGGAGCAAACAGG